CAGCUGUAACAGUAAAAGCUCCCCAGUGGGUAUCAUCUCUUGUUUUCAAUCUAUAAUUAUCUUGACUACCCUCUGCGGGGGAGGAGAGGGGAUGUCUGACAGGCAAAGAUACCUCAGAAGAGCUACGCGACAGACACAGAGCAGAGCUGGACUCCCGGACAGAACCCCCCGGUCUACAGUGCCGGACCACGACCCAACAUGGGCUCUUAUCCGAAGCGCUUUACAAUCAUUAGCGAACGGUACACGCAAUAUUUGGAAAGAUCAUUACGUGUCCGCCGAGACCCCCAGGGAUUUUCAAGUGGUCUGUGGAAAAAUAAGUUUGACGACAACAACAGUCAAGAAGAAACAACAUCUCCCAGCAACAUCCAGGUCUUCCUGGUGCCCCCGUCUCCCGCCGCCCUGUAUGUGGCCCAGAGCCCCAUGCUCACCUGCCUGGUGGUCAACCUGCCUAGCAACUCCAGCCUCCGGGUGGUCUGGUCCCGGGAGAAGCCAGAGCCCAUUAGCCCUGAUCGCCUGGACCUCGGUGAGCAGUUCAACGGCACCUUCACCGCCUCCAGCUCCAUGCCCAUCCUCACCCGCGACUGGGAUGCCGGAGAGACCUUCACCUGCAGAGUGGAGCACUCAGAGCUGCCCUCGCCCCUCAACAAAUCCAUCUCCAGGAAGCCAGGCAGGCGCUCUGGCCCAGGCAUCUACCUCCUGCACCCCCACAACGAUGAGCUGAGCAGCUCCGAAGACUCCAUCAGCCUCACCUGCCUGGUGCAGGGCUUCUUCCCCGAGGACAUCUCGGUGCAGUGGAUGAAGAACCACAAAGCCAACGAGAGCAUGGAAUACUUCACCACCCAGCCCAUCAAGGACGGAGCCGGCCACUCGAACUUCUUCCUCUACAGCAAGCUGAAAGUCAGCAAGGCCAGCUGGAACAGCGGGGACACCUACACCUGCAUGGUCAUCCACGAAGCCCUGCAGAUGAAGUUCAUCCAACGCAGCAUCAGCAAAGUCUCCGAGGUGAUCGUGUCAGGUGAGUUUUGCAGUGAGGAUGGAGACAAGGAGAUAGACGGCCUCUGGUCCACCAUCUCGGUCUUCAUCACCCUCUUCCUCUUGAGCGUGUGCUACAGUGCCACCAUGACCCUGUUCAAGGUGAAGUGGCUGUUCUCCGCCAUGGUGCAGCUGAAGCAGGCGAGUGGCCCCGAGUACAAGAACGUUGUCCAGCGCGUGGUGUAGGGGCCGCUGCCCCCGUCCGCCUGGAGACAAGGGGCCGGGACUCCCGGCUCUAUUGGUGACACCACCCUGAGUCCCACAGCUGCCCCCCGCUAGCGCUGUGCCCCUGGGAGACCCCCUGGGGGGAGUGAGGAGCUCACCCCACAUGGCCUAAUCCACCCUCAGCCACUGGGGACGCUGCCCUGCUGGGAGCUGGGCUGAGACCGGACAACUCGUACCAUGCAGGGAACCAGUGCCCCUAGCGAGGAAACAACCCGAGUCCCACUUCCCACCCUCCUGAGACCAACAGCCCCCUCCUCUGGGACUGGAUCAGAGCCAGCGCCCCCUAGAGGGGAAAGGCCCCAUAUCCCCUUCCCCACCCCCUGCGCCAGCCAGCCCCCCGCCCUGGGGCAGGACCAUAGCCAGAGUUGUGUCUGUCGUGCUGUAUGUUGCAUAUUUAGCUCUUCAUUGGGAUUUUUAUGGGUGGUGUGUGGGUGUGACUUUUGUUGUGUGCACUGAGUGACAGUAAAUAAAUAAAUAUACAAAUCA